rnacentral:misc_RNA from 1 species
GAACGCACAUUGCGCCCUCUGGUAUUCCGGAGGGCAUGCCUGUCCGAGCGUCAUUGCUGCCCUCAAGCACGGCUUGUGUGUUGGGCCCCGUCCUCCGAUCCCGGGGGACGGGCCCGAAAGGCAGCGGCGGCACCGAGUCCGGUCCUCGAGCGUAUGGGGCUUUGUCACCCGCUCUGUAGGCCCGGCCGGCGCUUGCCGAUCAACCAAAUUUUUUCCAGGUUGACCUCGGAUCAGGUAGGGAUACCCGCUGAACUUAAG